GACAGAGGUGCCGAGCGUUAGGCGGAAUCACUGGGCUUAAAGCGUGUGUAGGCGGACUUCUAAGUACCUUGUGAAAUCCCACGGCUCAACCGUGGAACUGCUUGGUAUACUGGUCGUCUUGAGCCACUUAGGGGCAGUCGGAACAGACGGUGGAGCGGUGAAAUGCGUAGAUAUCAGGAGGAACACCGGUGGCGAAGGCGGUUCUCUGGGAAUAUCCUGACGCUGAGGAGCGAAAGUGUGGGGAGCGAACAGG
rnacentral:rRNA from 1 species